CAAUAGCGUAUAUUAAAGUUGUUGCAGUUAAAAAGCUCGUAGUUGGAUUUCUGGUCGGAAGCUCCUGUCCUCUGAUGAGCGUACAAGUGCGUCCUACCAUCCUUCUGUUAACCUUUAAGGCCUUCGCGGCUUUCUAGGGGCUCAGAUAUUUUACCUUGAGAAAAUUAGAGUGUUUCAGGCAGGCUAGCGCCGGAAUACAUUAGCAUGGUAUAAUGGAAUAGGACUUUUGCCUCUUCUGUUGGUCAUGAGGCUCGAGUAAUGAUUAAUAGGGAUAGUUGGGGGCAUUAGUACUUAACUGUCAGAGGUGAAAUUCUCGGAUUUGUUAAAGACUAACUUAUGCGAAAGCAUUUGCCAAGGAUGUUUNCAUUAA
rnacentral:rRNA from 1 species